GACGAACGCUGGCGGCGUGCUUAACACAUGCAAGUCGAACGGACAGGCCAUGCUUUUGCGGGGCGCUCGUUAGGCGAACGCGUGAGAAACACGCGAGUAACCUCCCCUUAAAUUUGGGGUAACUUCACGAAACAGGGGCUAAUAUCCGGUAGAAGAUCUUGAACCGCGGGGGGGGUUGGAAAGUUUCGGCGGUUGGGGAUGGACUCGCGGCUUAUCCGCUUGUUGGUGGGGUAGUGGCUUACCAAGGCUUUGACGGGUAGCCGGCCUGGGAGGGUGGCCGGCGACCUUGGGCCUACGAGACGGCGCAGACGCCUACGGUACGCAGCGGUGGAGAACAUUGCGCAAUGGGGGGAAGCGUGAUGCAGCAACGCUGCGUGCGUGAUGCCGUCCUUCGGGUUAUAAACCGCUGUCUCCUGUGACGAAGCGUGAGUGACGGUAAUUGGUAAAAAAGCACCGGCUAACUACGUG
rnacentral:rRNA from 1 species